UGAUUCCUACGGGAGGCAGCAGUAAGGAAUAUUGGUCAAUGGGCGCAAGCCUGAACCAGCCAUCCCGCGUGCAGGAAGAUGGCGCUAUACGUCGUAAACUGCUUUUCCAGGGGAAGAAAACCUGAUACGUGUAUCGGCUUGCCGGUACCCUGGGAGUAAGCAUCGACUAACUCCGUG
rnacentral:rRNA from 1 species